AUCAGCUCGGUAAAACCGAAUUAUUUUUAUUUAUUUAUUUAAAUGAAAGUAAAAAUAUUUUUUUUUUUUUAUUAUUUUCUAGAGAAGAAUACAAAUAUAUUUAUUCAUAAGACAAAUAUGAACCAUCUUAAAUAUUUUAAAGAUUGUUUAAAUUCUCUUUAAUUAAAUACUCAAAUAUGAGAGUUUUCAAGGAGUUUAUUCUUGAUUUAUCUUGUUAAAAGUGAUGUCAGUGAUGUUACUUAAUGUUUCUUCUCCGUUUUGUGUAGGUAUUCUGCGCACUAGUGUACCUGUAAGAAAAUGUUUGGUAAGCCACUAGUUGCCUUUCUACUCUUACUAAUAUAUAUGGAUAUAAAAUAAUAAUAACAAAAAUUAAAAAAAUUACCUGUCACAUAUUGUAUAAUUGUUCCAUUAAUGUAAAAUUUAAGUUAGGCCUGCUAGUUUGAUUUAUUGCCUUUUUUACUUUUAAUGAAAUCUGUUCUGUUUAAUUUUGAUCGUUAUGAAUAAAAAUCUUUAUCCGUUUUAUUUAAUUUAUCGAUGUACAAUACAAAAAGCCUUUGUCAUGAUAACAUCAACAUGCAGGUUGCUAUAUAAUAAACUAGAUCGAUGUUAACUUUGUGACAUUCCUCGAAUAUUUAAACAAAAAAAAAUAUGGUUACUAAAAAAAAGGCUUUAUUUGUAUUAAUAAAACAAAAAAAUAAUAUGUCCCGUGAUGUUUUAGAAUCUAGUAAGAUAGCCUUAGAUAGUUCUUGUUGUAUUCAUACCAAAUUGCAUGGUGUAAGUGCCUUGGUAGAGUGCUCCAUUUUAGUUAGUCACUUGUACUAUACACGACACACCACCUUCCACGAUACGACAUUGAUGUCAAUGAUCAAACUAUGGUUUUCGACAACGACCGCGUAGCACAGUAGAUUCUUAAUUUGACUUCUUAUAUCCACCAAAUGUUCGUUUUUACUUAAAAAUCCCUCUUUGUGAUAGAGUGCACCGUGUUAUUUUUUGAGUUUGUACGUUUUUAAUCCUGGUGAAUGUUUUAGAUUUAUUAACAAAUAUAUAUAAAUAAAUAAAUAAAAAAAAACAAAAAAAUUCAAAAGGAAAAGUAUGCGGAAUAACAUCAUUCUGCCAAAUUAAUUGAGAUGAAUAGAUUCGAAAGGAAAAGGAAAAUAUAUAAAUAAUUAAAAGUUUAUAUGAAUGAUGAUCUAGUAAGAGAGUGCGUUAUAUAAAUCGUAUUUGAAAUAUGAAUAUUUUAUUAAUUAUUUACGAAUUGGUAAAUCCAAUCGUAUCAAUUUUUAGGACAAACUAUGAGACAUAAUUUUAGAAAAUAUAUCAGUAUUAAAACCCCGCUCAGGAUUUUUAAGAAAAUUAUGAAAAUAAAAUUUAAUUAGAGGUGUUUACCAUUUUCGAGAUUAAAAAAUAAUUAAAGUUUAAAG
rnacentral:lncRNA from 1 species